rnacentral:rRNA from 1 species
AUGGCGUGGCCUCCUUUGAUAUACAACAAGGCAAGCCCGUGCUUGAAGAUUCCGGUUUACAGAAGGAUGGCGAAAGCAAAAUCUUCUGGAAGGGGAGGCGGCGAUCCAGAAUUCAGCUAUCAGGAGUUCAGGACCCAUGAAGCUGCUCGUGCGUCCUCGACUGGUGGCUUACUGCGCAUCCCUGAAGAAGAUGAGAGUGAAGAUGAACAAAAUGAGCUGAUGGAUAUUGAGCGGCAGUAA